rnacentral:rRNA from 1 species
AACGAACGCUGGCGGCGUGCUUAACACAUGCAAGUCGCACGAGAAAGUUUCCUUCGGGGAACGAGUAAAGUGGCGCACGGGUGAGUAAUACGCAGAUAAUCUACCUUCCAGAUUGGCACAACCUCGGGAAACCGGGGCUAAUUCCGAAUACGGUCUAAAAAACUGAUGUUUUUUAGAGGAAAGCUGGCCUCUACUUGUAAGCUAGCACUGGAAGAUGAGUCUGUGUCCCAUCAGCUUGUUGGUAGGGUAAAAGCCUACCAAGGCUAAGACGGGUAGCUGGUCUGAGAGGACGAUCAGCCACACUGGAACUGAAACACGGUCCAGACUCCUACGGGAGGCAGCAGUGGGGAAUAUUGGACAAUGGGGGAAACCCUGAUCCAGCAACGCCGCGUGAGGGAAGAAGGCUCUCGGGUUGUAAACCUCUGUCGGAGGGGACGAAACUUGUUGUGGUUAAUAUCCACAGCAAUUGACGGUACCUUCAAAGGAAGCACCGGCUAACUCCGUGCCAGCAGCCACGGUAAUACGGAGGGUGCAAGCGUUGUUCGGAUUUACUGGGCGUAAAGCGUGUCUAGGCGGGUUUGUAAGUUAGGUGUGAAAGUCCCGGCUUAACCGGGGAGGGUCGCCUAAAACUGCGAAUCUUGAGUUCCGGUGGGGUGUGUGGAAUUCCCAGUGUAGAGGUGAAAUUCGUAGAGAUUGGGAGGAACACCUGUGGCGAAAGCGACUCACUAACCGGACACUGACGCUCAAACACGAAAGCGUGGGUAGCAAACAGGAUUAGAUACCCUGGUAGUCCACGCCGUAAACGAUGGGCACUAAGUAGAGGGAAUGACCGAUGUUUUCUCUGCCGUAGCUAACGCAUUAAGUGCCCCGCCUGGGGAGUACGGCCGCAAGGCUAAAACUCAAAAGAAUUGACGGGGGCUCGCACAAGCGGUGGAGCAUGUGGCUUAAUUCGAUGCAACGCGAAAAACCUUACCGGGAUUUGACAUGAUAGAAGUAGGAACCCGAAAGGGGGACAAACGGUACUCAGUCCGUAACUAUUACAGGUGUUGCAUGGCUGUCGUCAGCUCGUGUCGUGAGACGUUGGGUUAAGUCCCCUAACGAGCGAAACCCUUGUUUUUAGUUGCCAGCGGGUAAUGCCGGGCACCCUAAAAAGACUGCCGUCGUCAAGACGGAGGAAGGUGGGGAUGACGUCAAGUCAUCAUGGCCCUUAUAUCCCGGGCCGCACACGUGCUACAAUGGUCGGUACAAAAGGAAGCAAAAUCGAAAGAUCAAGCAAAUCCUAAAAAGCCGACCCCAGUUCGGAUUGGAGGCUGAAAUUCGCCUCCGUGAAGUUGGAAUCGCUAGUAAUCGCGGAUCAGCAGCGCCGCGGUGAAUAUGUUCCCGAGCCUUGUACACACCGCCCGUCAAGCCACCCAAGCAGGAUGCACCCGAAAACAUUUAUCUAACCGAGAAUAAUAUCUUGGAGGAAAAUAUUGAAGGAGUGUUCUGUGAGGAGGACU